rnacentral:ncRNA from 1 species
CUGUACUUGUCGGAGUGCCAUCUGGCUGAGACCGCAUUGCGGGAUCCGUUGAACCUGAUCAGGCUAAUACCUGCGAAGGGAACAAGAGAUAAUCAUCU